AUUGAACGCUGGCGGCAGGCCUAACACAUGCAAGUCGAACGGAGUGGCGGACGGGUGAGUAAUAUAUCGGAAUCUGCCCUGUCGCGGGGGAUAACUACUGGAAACUGUCGCUAAUACCGCAUACUAUCAGAUGAGCCCAGAUCGGAUUAGCUAGUUGGUGGGGUAAAGGCUUACCAAGGCGACGAUCCGUAGCUGGUCUGAGAGGAUGACCAGCCACACUGGAACUGAGACACGGUCCAGACUCCUACGGGAGGCAGCAGUGGGGAAUAUUGGACAAUGGGCGAAAGCCUGAUCCAGCCAUGCCGCGUGUAUGAAGAAGGCCUUCGGAUUGUAAAGUACUUUAAGCUGGGAGGCGUUACCAGCAGAAGAAGCACCGGCUAACUCCGUGCCAGCAGCCGCGGUAAUAC
rnacentral:rRNA from 1 species